GCUGUUUUUUUGGUCAUUUAUGAAAAAUGGGAAAAGUCGCUAAAAAUGGACGAACUUUUUUGCUGUUUUCUUGGUCAUUUAUGAAAAAUUGAAAAAAUCGGCUAAAAAUGGACGAAAAGUAAAGGCCUUACUUUUUUGCUGUUUUUUGGUCAUUUAUGAAAAAUGGAAAAGUCGUUAAAAAUGGACGAAAAGUAAAAGCUAUGGCCUUACUUUUUUGCUGUUUUUUGCCUCUUUUUCAAAAAUUGAAAAAUCGGCUAAAAAUGGACGAAAAGUAAACGCUGUAGCCUUGUUUUUUUUUCUGUUUUUUUUCCCUUUUUCAAAAAUUGAAAAAUCGGCUAAAAAUGGACGAAAAUUAAGAGUAUAUAGCGUUACUUUUUUGCUCUAUUCUGCCUGCUGUUUAUGACAAAUGAAAAAAGUCGCUAAAAUCGACGAAAAGUAAAAACUAUAGGCUGGAGUGUUUUGACAUGUAUUUUGAAAUUAUUUUUGGUUCAUUUCACUUAUCUUAAAUUUUUCGACUCCAUUUCGCAUAUUAUUGUCCGUUCGUAUUU